CUGGACGAGCGAGAGUCCCGGAGAGCCGCUGCAAACGUGUCCUUUUUCACAUCACAUCACUCCACUGCACCCGGGCUCAUCCUUGAAUUACCCUCUUUACCACCUGUUCUGAAGGGGCAAUUCUUGUUGAACAACAUAGACCAGUGCAAUCUCCUGUUAUAGUUAGUGCCAUCUAAACUAAUGGAGUUGGAAUCACGUUACAGCCAAUACAGAUCCAACCUCAGCUGGCAUUAUUGUCACAGUUGCUGUUUUGCAACAAAGAUGCAGGAAUUGGAGGAGGAACAAAUGUCCCAGGAUUAGCAGAAACCUGCAGGUGAAUCUGAACAACCUCUGAAUGAAGCAGUUGCAGCUGAAGGCUUCCUCAAGAUGCACAGGAAACAUAGGAGGCACAGGAAAUUUUGUUCUCAAUGCCAUUUCCUCUGGACAGAUGAGGAGCAGUGUCCGUGUAGACUGAGAAUGUCACAGAACUGUGACAGCUGCUGGAGCAGAAACUGUGAUUCAGGAGGGUAGGUGACCAUCUUGCCCCCAGUGACCAUCAAGGUAACAGCGAUGUUGAAUGUUUGUGCGAUUCGUUCAUUUCAAGGAGCUACUGGGGAGCAUUUGUGGGAUUUCUCACUUGUCCAUCCUCAAAUACAUCAAGAUUGAAUGAUGGCAUUUAUGCCAGAUCAUACCACUACAUCUGGCUUCCCCGUGAUGACGUCAGUGCUACAGCCCACCACUAAGAUACAGUAACAUAGUUAGCUUUCCCAAGGUGCAGGGGCCAAUGACUACACACACAUUGUCUUGUGAGGGCUGUAUUGUAUUGGAAAGGAGUUUGUCAGUAGGAAGAGUUCUAUUUCACCAUCAUACAAGUAAUCUGUGAUCACGGUACCGUUUUGUAAAGGUCUGCGCACCCUACUCUGGAAGCUGCCAGGAUUCCUUCAUCCUUGAGGAUUCUCACACAGUCAGUUCUGCUAUAAGGUGGUAGUUCCAUUUUCAUGCCAUCCCGUGUUGAAAGAAAAUUGUGUAAUAGCAGCACCACUUAAACUAAUUGGACCAGAAUUGUGUGAUAACCGUGUGUUAACUUUAAAAGGUUGCGCUUUAGAUACAGUGUCCCCAAUUCGUCAAUUGUGUUAUAGCGAAUUUGCAUUAAGAAAACACGCAUUUUCACUCAAUGACCUGUACUCCUGCUGUGUUUGAGGAUCCAGAUGCCUUUCAAGGAUGGCUACUGAAAGACAAGGGCUACCCAAUGCAAUCAUGGCUGAUGACUCCAUUAUACAAUCCCCUGACUAAGGCAAAUUGUGGAUACAAUGCAACCCAUUCUUCAACAAGGGCCAAAGCGGAGCAGACAAUUGACCAGUUGAUGGUGAGGUUCCACUGCUUGGACAAGUCUGAUACUGCCUCAUAGUGCCAUGCAGUACACUCUGGACAGAUUGUGUAGCAUAAUCCUAGCAUGCUGGACUCUGGACAAUAGGAGCUGACAACAGUGAGAUGUGAUAAAUGCUGAUGAACUUAGACACUGGAUGCAGGUUUCUGAGGAAGACAAUGAAGAUAUUGAGCAAGAGGA